rnacentral:rRNA from 1 species
AUGGAGUCUUAUUGCCUGGAGACGGUAAAUCUGUUGAAGACGAGGACGACGAGCAGGGCUGCAAUUCUUCAUGUUCUUAUGCGCAUGCAGGACAAAGCAGAUAACCGAAGUUGUUGCAUCCAAGAUAAAUGCAUAAAAAGACGCCUCACCAUCUCGGAUUCUUGGUUGCAUAGGGAAUGUGAAGCAUCACCCUCCUUCACAGAUCGUGGGUGGUAUGAAUUAGGAGAUCAAAGAAUCCAGAGCCUGAGCUAUGACUGGGUAAUCUUCAGAGGAGUCAUCUUCAUAGGUCUCCAAGAUGGCAUCUGA